rnacentral:rRNA from 1 species
UACGAAGGGGGCUAGCGUUGCUCGGAAUCACUGGGCGUAAAGGGUGCGUAGGCGGGUCUUUAAGUCAGAGGUGAAAUCCUGGAGCUCAACUCCAGAACUGCCUUUGAUACUGAGGAUCUUGAGUUCGGGAGAGGUGAGUGGAACUGCGAGUGUAGAGGUGAAAUUCGUAGAUAUUCGCAAGAACACCAGUGGCGAAGGCGGCUCACUGGCCCGAUACUGACGCUGAGGCACGAAGCGAUGGGAGGCAAACAGGGAUUAAGAUACCC